GUGGGGGAUAUUGCGCAAUGGGCGAAAGCCUGACGCAGCGACGCCGCGUGGGUGAUGAAGGCCUUCGGGUCGUAAAGCCCUGUCGAGGGGGACGAAGCGAUUGCGACCUAAUACGUCGUGACCUUGACGGUACCCCUAAAGGAAGCACCGGCUAACUCCGUGCCAGCAGCCGCGGUAAUACGGAGGGUGCAAGCGUUGUUCGGAAUCACUGGGCGUAAAGCGCGUGUAGGCGGCCCGUUAAGUCUGAUGUGAAAGCCCGGGGCUCACCCCCGGAAGUGCAUUGGAAACUGACGGACUCGAGUCCCGGAGAGGAGGGUGGAAUUCCUGGUGUAGCGGUGAAAUGCGUAGAUAUCAGGAGGAACACCGGUGGCGAAGGCGGCCCUCUGGACGGUGACUGACGCUGAGACGCGAAAGCGUGGGGAGCAAACAGGAUUAGAAACCCUGGUAGUCC
rnacentral:rRNA from 1 species